GACGUAGGGACCAAGCGUUGUUCGGAUUUACUGGGCGUAAAGGGCGCGUAGGCGGCUUGACAAGUCACUUGUGAAAUCUCCGGGCUUAACUCGGAACGGCCAAGUGAAACUGUCAUGCUAGAGUGCAGAAGGGGCAAUCGGAAUUCUUGGUGUAGCGGUGAAAUGCGUAGAUAUCAAGAGGAACACCUGAGGUGAAGACGGGUUGCUGGGCUGACACUGACGCUGAGGCGCGAAAGCCAGGGGAGCAAACGGG
rnacentral:rRNA from 1 species